rnacentral:lncRNA from 1 species
AAUACAACAGUUGAUAUCUUCUGUCGGUUGUAUCAUAUAGAUUUAGUGUUCAUGAAAACGGAUAAUUCAACACAAAUAAUAUAUAGUUUUCGUUUAGGGUAAUGCCUUGUGAAAGAAUGUAUAAGAAGAUAAUCGAUUUACAAGGCAAUACUUCACGUGUUUGUCAAAUUGUAUUAGUGAUAAUACGAUACGUAUGUUGACUCAUUUAUAAGACAAAUGAAAUAAAGGCAUACAUUAUGAAUAGGUCCACCAAUUAUUUUCCUCUUGGAGGAUAUUAAAGUAAGCAAUGCUGAAAUCUAUUAAUGUUCAUCAUUAUUGAAUCAUAAUGUUAUGUCAAUAAAAAUCAUCGCUCUGUUAGAUUUGUCCUUGUUUUAUAAGUUCGUUAUCACAUGGUAAAUUUGUCUUUCAUAUUGUAUUUCUCCCUUUCGUCUCUCUCGGUGAAAAUGUUUUUCUGAUAUCUGAUUUACAUGGAUAUGCCAAGCCCUAUCCAUCAGAUUUGGGAUCAGAAGCAUUUCAGCCGGCAUCAUCCUGUUUAUAUAUAUAUAUAUACAGACAUAUAUAUUGAGAGAGAGAGAUGCGUGUCUAUAUAUAUAUAUAUAUAGCACUAAGACCACCAGACAACGUGGUUUCGAUUUGUAUUGGAGCUCCUCGGUUGUGAAUAUUCGUUCGCCAGGCAUGAUAGCAGUUUAACCUCACUUAAUCCAAAGUAAUCUCUUUCUUUUCCUUUUUUUUUUGUAAGACAGGAGGGGACGUUUUGCAGGAAUUUAUACAGUUAUUUGUUAGCCAUCCUUGCGGACCCACAGAGACCCCUUCACUAUAACACGUAGAGUAGCAUUUCAUUAUUUAAUUCUGUCUCCACACUGUAAUUUCCAAAAUCAGUCAGGUCUAAUGCGUAAAUAAAUAUCCUGUCUGUAGUUAUGACAACCGUGCCAGUAUCUAUUAUCACUGUAACUAUGGAGGCCGUAUGAAUGAUGUCAUUCUUUCGCACGAACUCACAGAAAUAUCUUCCUACGAAGCGCGUUCUUCGUACACUGUUGUUUUCUUUUGACUUCGGAACAACAAAGAAUUUCUACUACAGAAACAUGUCAUAAAGACAAAUAAUAGCGGUAUAUGUGGCGACAACUGCCUUUUGAAUGUGUCAAAUCUUCCACAGAGAUGUAGCAUGAUCGACGUUUCCAGUUUCAUCAUGGGAUUUUAUCGGCUUCAGAUACUCGUUUUUUUUUUUUCUUAACACAUUCUACAGCUAUCUUCUGUGCAAGGAUUUCACAAUCAUAACCGUCGAAAUAUGAUGUAACUGUCAAGAGUCCAAGAGAUGCUACACAUCAUGAUCCGAUCUGGUUGAAGACACGAACCCACAUCUGUAGGCUGACUCUCCAUCAUUAUUACAACCUGAAGAAGUCGUUAUUCAAAGAGAGAAACUAAAUUUAAUUUGUAGCAGACACUGAGACCGGUCUACGACCAGUAACUUUCCCAUGACAUUCUUACCUUCUUU